rnacentral:rRNA from 1 species
AACGAACGCUGGCGGCAUGCCUAACACAUGCAAGUCGAACGAGACCUUCGGGUCUAGUGGCGCACGGGUGCGUAACGCGUGGGAACCUGCCCUUAGGUUCGGAAUAACUCCCCGAAAGGGGUGCUAAUACCGGAUAAUGUCUUCGGACCAAAGAUUUAUCGCCUUUGGAUGUGCCCGCGUUGGAUUAGCUAGUUGGUAGGGUAAAAGCCUACCACGGCGACGAUCCAUAGCUGGUCUGAGAGGAUGAUCAGCCACACUGGGACUGAGACACGGCCCAGACUCCUACGGGAGGCAGCAGUGGGGAAUAUUGGACAAUGGGCGAAAGCCUGAUCCAGCAAUGCCGCGUGAGUGAUGAAGGCCUUAGGGUUGUAAAGCUCUUUUAACCGGGAUGAUAAUGACAGUACCGGGAGAAUAAGCUCCGGCUAACUCCGUG